CAUGCCUAACACAUGCAAGUCGAACGAUGAAGUCUAGCUUGCUAGACGGAUUAGUGGCGGACGGGUGAGUAAUGUAUAGGGAUCUGCCUAGUAGUGGGGGACAACAGCCGGAAACGGCUGCUAAUACCGCAUACGCUCUACGGAGGAAAGCGGGGGCUCUUCGGACCUCGUGCUAUUAGAUGAACCUAUAUCAGAUUAGCUAGUUGGUGGGGUAAAGGCCUACCAAGGCGACGAUCUGUAGCUGGUCUGAGAGGAUGAUCAGCCACACUGGGACUGAGACACGGCCCAGACUCCUACGGGAGGCAGCAGUGGGGAAUAUUGGACAAUGGGCGCAAGCCUGAUCCAGCAAUGCCGCGUGUGUGAAGAAGGCCUUCGGGUUGUAAAGCACUUUCAAUAGGGAGGAAAGGUUAUGCGUUAAUACCGUAUAGCUGUGACGUUACCUAUAGAAGAAGCACCGGC
rnacentral:rRNA from 1 species